GACGAACGCUGGCGGCGUGCUUAACACAUGCAAGUCGAACGGGAAGGCCCUGCUUGCAGGGUACUCGAGUGGCGAACGGGUGAGUAACACGUGGGUGAUCUGCCCUGCACUUCGGGAUAAGCCUGGGAAACUGGGUCUAAUACCGGAUAGGAGCCAUUUUUAGUGUGAUGGUUGGAAAGUUUUUUCGGUGUAGGAUGAGCUCGCGGCCUAUCAGCUUGUUGGUGGGGUAAUGGCCUACCAAGGCGGCGACGGGUAGCCGGCCUGAGAGGGUGGACGGCCACAUUGGGACUGAGAAACGGCCCAGACUCCUACGGGAGGCAGCAGGGGGGAAUAUUGCACAAUGGGCGCAAGCCUGAUGCAGCGACGCCGCGUGGGGGAUGACGGCCUUCGGGUUGUAAACUCCUUUCGCUAGGGACGAAGCUUUUUGUGACGGUACCUAGAUAAGAAGCACCGGCUAACUACGUG
rnacentral:rRNA from 1 species